GACGAACGCUGGCGGCGUGCUUAACACAUGCCAGUCGAACGGAAAGGCCCUGCUUUUGUGGGGUGCUCGAGUGGCGAACGGGUGAGUAACACGUGAGUAACCUGUCCUUGACUUUGGGAUAACUUCAGGAAACUGGGGCUAAUACCGGAUAGGAGCUCCUGCUGCAUGGUGGGGGUUGGAAAGUUUCGGCGGUUGGGGAUGGACUCGCGGCUUAUCAGCUUGUUGGUGGGGUAGUGGCUUACCAAGGCUUUGACGGGUAGCCGGCCUGAGAGGGUGACCGGCCACAUUGGGACUGAGAUACGGCCCAGACUCCUACGGGAGGCAGCAGUGGGGAAUAUUGCACAAUGGGCGGAAGCCUGAUGCAGCAACGCCGCGUGCGGGAUGACGGCCGUCGGGUUGUAAACCGCUUUCACCUGUGACGAAGCGUGAGUGACGGUAAUGGGUAAAGAAGCACCGGCUAACUACGUG
rnacentral:rRNA from 1 species